rnacentral:hammerhead_ribozyme from 1 species
AUCCAGUUGACGAGUCCCAAAACGGACGAAAUGCACAUCCUGGAU